UUCUAAUAGAAAUCAUUAUUAGUAAAAUCUGCUCAAUGAAAUUUCAAUAGCCGCAAAUACUUGUGCUAAGGUAGCAUAAUCAUUUGUCUUUUAAUUAAAGACUAGAAUAAAAGAUUCAAUAUUUUCAUUUCUUUCUUAUCUAUUCAAAUUUAAUUUUUUCUAAAUAUAAAAAAAUAUUUAUAAAAUAAAAAGACGACAAGACCCUAUUGAACUUUACUAAAGUUUAACUGGGGUAGUUAAUUAAAUAUAAUUUUAAUUUAAAUAUUACAAAUUUCUAAUACAAUUAACAUAAUCAAGUUACCAUAGGGAUAACAGCGUAAUAAUUUUCUAUAGUUCUUAUUUAAAAAAUAUUUUGCGACCUCGAUGUUGAAUAAUAUCCUAUUAAACGCAAUAGUUUAAUAAGAAAGUCUGUUCGACUUUUAAUAAAUUACA
rnacentral:rRNA from 1 species